ensembl:lncRNA
CUAAAAGCUACAGGAAACUAUGUGUUCUUACUGACCACAUAAGUAGAAAAACAUCAUAGGAUGAUUAAGUUUUAUUUCCACAAAUUUAAGAAUGAUUAGCAAAAAGCAUAGCCUAAAUGGAAAGAAAUAGCAUAAGUGUGGCUUAGAAACCCUACAAGGAGCCCAGAGACAAUGAAAGGAAACAAGUCCAACCAAAACAAGUGCUAAGUAUGCUACAGCAGACUUCUUAAUUUGGCAGGGCGGGGAAGUCCAGCAAAGGAAGUUCACUUGUGGAGUGUUUGAGGUCUUCUACUCAGAUAAUCUACUGCACACACUACUGCUUCUGUCAGUCCUCAUUAAAACCAACACUGGAGAUCCAAGAGUGAUAAAUCCAAGCAUAACAGAAAAAUGUAUGUUGUAGUUCAUAUCUUUGAUCACACCACUCAAAAAUGGUCACUGCCUCAGAGAGGAGAGAUCAGCUUCAUUCAUCAGUCAUGUUUCUAUUCAUGCACCUGUUCUUUAGCAUCUUACAAAAUCAAGAUGGAUGGCUCCUGUCCACUCUGUAGUUCUCAGCAUCUUUAACUCCUUCCUGAGCAGCUGCUACACAUACACUCUGAAUUUCCUGGAAUUUGGACUAUCAGUAAUCAGCUAUGACCACUACAUCAUGAUGCUGACUAAGAAGAAGGCUCAAACUUCCAGAGUCAGGCCAGAGAGAAGACAACCUUUCUCCCACAACGCAAUAACACCAAGCCCCCAUACCAGAUUGAAAUCUGUGGAUCACACUGUCAAUCUUGUCUGGACUGUCCUACCAUACUCACUGUAUAGUCCGGAUUUGGCACCUUCUGAAUUCCAUCUCUUUGCACCUAUGAAAGAUGAACUGUAUUUACAACAUUUUCCUAGCAACAACACCAUCUUAGCAGCUGUGAAACAAUGGGUCACCUUCGCUGGUGCAAAUAUUUACAAGUGUGGCAUGCAGACUCUUGUUCAUCAUUGGAGAAAAAACAUAGCUAAUGGUGGUGACUAUGUUGAAAAUAGUGUAUUAUAGCUGAGACUUUGUUUUAACAGUGUUAUUGUGCUCUUUGUAUCUGUUGUAGUUUCUAAGGAAAUAAAUAGGAGACAAACUAUGCAUAUAUUCUUGCCUCUCAUUUUCCUGAAGGGAAACAAAAAGCAGAAUGCUGCAAACUGAGCCAUCUUAAUCUGUUAACACCGUUGACACUGCAAGCCAGAAAUCACACGAACUGAUAGAAAUAACAGAGCAAAAUUUCUGAGAACUCUGAAUCCUCAAACUUCUUUUAAGCUCAAGUUUCUUUUCAAACAAGAAUUCCAAAACAAACACAGUCCACUGGAAAUUUUCUCAACUUCAGCUGGCUGGAAAAUGAAAGGACUCAGUUUCCCAUCACUUCACUUUCGUUGGUACUCUGACCUUUGGUGUCCCAUUCAUAGUUCCUUUAAGAGGCAGAAAGCCUUCUAUCUGGCUUCCUUCAGCACAUGCCUCUACUAUCACUUUGAGCUAGUGAUCAGACUAGAAGUUUAAGGAGGCACCAAUGGCCACAAAGGACUCACUGGAUUUUGCACUUGUAGACCCAAAGUUCUGCUAAAAAAUAUUUAGAAACACUGGUUUUUGAAUCAGUACCCAUGAGUUGUUGGAAAUAAGUUAGGUUGAUGAAAAUAACCAAAACAACAUAAAAAUAUAUCAAAUACUCUUUCAUACUUUUGAAAACACACAAAAAGGAAAGCAGUGUCUGGAGUAAUUAAUUGUUAAUAAAUGAAAAGAGCUCAAGAAGUCAAUUGAUAAAUGAGGCUGGAAGUCAUUGAAAGAAACAAAAUCCAGGAUCUAUUUAAAAAAAAAAAAAUCUUAAAAAAAUGUAAAACCUACUUUCUGGUGUUUUCUUUGUUGGUUUAUUUUUUUCUUUCCUCCAUACUGAACAAGCGAAACACACAUGGCAAGGGGCAUCUAAUCAUUACUCUGAUUUAGUUUAGGUACCACAGUGCCAUCAUAUGUCCAAAGUUUAUGCAUUUCAAAAUGUUUUCUGAGAAUCACAGUGAGACUUAGAGUAACAGAGAAUAAAAUGAAGUUCUGUUUUUCAAGCAUAUGAACAGUGUAGCGCAAACAGCUUCCAUGCUAUUAGAUGUAGAUUCAGUGAUGGAAAUUGUUCUGCUGGG